rnacentral:rRNA from 1 species
UGAUGGCGACCGGCGCACGGGUGAGUAACACGUAUCCAACCUGCCCUUUACUCGGGGAUAGCCUUUCGAAAGAAAGAUUAAUACCCGAUAGCAUAAUGAUUCCGCAUGGUUUCAUUAUUAAAGGAUUCCGGUAAAGGAUGGGGAUGCGUUCCAUUAGGUUGUUGGUGAGGUAACGGCUCACCAAGCCUUCGAUGGAUAGGGGUUCUGAGAGGAAGGUCCCCCACAUUGGAACUGAGACACGGUCCAA